UUUUUAUUUUUUUACUUAAUGUGAUUAUAAAACUUUAAAGAUAUAUUAUUUAUGUUCAAAAUAUUACGUCUAGUAUGAUAAUAUUGUCAACAAAUGUUUUCUGUAUUUCUUACAACAACCAUUUCUAAACUAAAGUUAGAUUUGGUGUUCUUUUUAAAACCUAAAUGCAAACGUUGUCUUUAAGUACUUUCAAUACUUUGAUUAUUUGUCAUGUACAAAAAGUGGGGUUGCCCUACGGAAGUGCAGAUUGGAUUUCAGAGCCAUAAAGAUUUGAGAUGAUAUAGGUAAAAUUAUUAAAGGGUUCUUUUAUUUGUAGUUUAGCUUCUGUGUAAUUCCGGAAGCAGUUAAUAAUAAUCUAGAAUAACUACCCAAAUAUUUCAUUCCCACUCUCAUUAGACAAUUUCGACAGUAAGCGUGUCUUGAUUUCACAGAAUCCGUAGAACAGGGAGCAAUCAGUUUGCGGCAUUAUCCGAAAUAAAUAUCUCUGCAUUCGGUGUAUGCGUUCAUUUAACGAGUAAACCCAUGGAAAUAAAUUUUGCCGUAAACAACUAUUGGGAUACUUUAAUCACUUAAACAGUAUUAAUCAUAUGAUAGGUAUUAUUUUAUUUAUUCAUUUCAAUUUUGGGAACAGGGAGAUAAAGGACUUUGUUAAUUUUAUUUUACUUCGUAAUUAAGUUUUUUCUUAAUUAAAGCAUAUAUAGGAAUCUUUAAUGGUAGCCUAAUGUUACCAAAUACGACAAACAAAUAGAUCUAUAUGAAGCAUACAAUUUACAGAGUGUUCAUGUAGUUUGAAGGCUCAAAUGCGUUAGAUAUAUGUAUAUUAGAAUAUCAGCUAAUUCGAACGUAAACACCAACAUAUAUAUAUUGAACUAAGUAUGUGCCAUUAAUGUCCACCUUUUCUUGGUGCUUACUAAUAGAAUCAACGGUAGGUAUAUACAGAAUUACCAAAAAGCGAUAUGUUUCAUAAAACGUCAACACAUUGCACAUCGAUUGAGGGAGAUUUAUGGCCGUUACUCGGCAAUAUUUUCACACCACAACCUUCAAAAACGCCUUGGUCAGCCCAUGGACAGUUUGAUGGCCGCCGUCUGACACCGGCCCAGUUUGGUCAUGAUGAAGACAAAUCAGAUUGAUAUGGAAAUAGCUCGUCAUCGUCCCGGCUCUGGCCAGGUGGAGCUGCACUCGAUGGCCCCCGACAUUCCAAGGUAAAGUUUUGUACAUCUGUGUGUAAGCUUUGAUCUUCUGAUCUCCGCCGUUAUCAGCAGUGAAGUAUCCCUCACCGCGCGGCUCCUGGGGCAGGGUUCGAGUCAGGGUCCGCUUCGCCUUUCCAGGUAGUCAGAUUGCCAAAUUGUUUGCACAGUUCCGGGUCAAAUUUUAUAUUUCACUUCUCCACAAGUUCUUAAACUUUACAAUUUAAAUAAAUCAAUUAAUAUGUUCAAUCCCUGGUUUGAGUCAGUGACACGUUUAAUAAAUGACCUAAUCCUUUGGACGCCCAGAGCCAAAUCUAUGUGACGUCACGACGAUAUCAACUAUUAAUGUUUUGCAGAUAAUUAAAAAAAAUUCAUAAAAUUAUGGAGGGAAAAGUUUCCUUUGCUCUUUACAUAAUGUUUUUUUAAAUUGAUAUCGCGAGCAAGCAACUCUGUGUUACAGUGAACUACGAACAAAGAGGAACAACUCUUACCGUUAACUGAAAUAAAAUCUAAAACACGUGCGGAUUAUCUCAGGAUAUUAAUCAUGUCUACAGUUUCAAAAUAAAUGUGAAAUAAGAAAGAUUAAUUGGAUCUUGUAAUUUAUCUGGACCUCGUGGGGCGAGGAGUUAGAGCCAAAAUCACAUAAAUAAUUCUUCUGGCGCACCAGAAAACGUCGAAACGUCCUAUUUCUGCGCACGUGUUGUCGAACAGAAAGAAAGGAUUAAAUUCUCAACUAGUAAGUUCAAAAUCUCAUCCAAAACAUUUAAUCGAAUCCAUCUUUGUGUUAGCUUUAAAUCUUUUUCGUUUUGAUUCAGGAUUUUCGGUGAAAUGAUGUAUACAAGAAUUUUACUUUUGCACGCAAAACCAAAAAAAAAAAAGAUAAAAGGAAUCUUAAAUUUUUGCUGAUACAGCCUUUACACGUAAAAUCGACAGUUUGGAGACUGGUGAAAUCAAGCUCUACUUGAUCAUAGUGUCACCGGACAUCAUUUGGGUAUUUCCUCGACACACCCGUACAUUUACCCGACAAAGGCCGACCACCGGGGAUUAAUCCAGAUAAAUGUUUACAGAAAACACACCCUGUUGUCGUCUGAGACCGUCCUAUUAUUAUUCAAUAUCAAGUUGAACAAAAUGGUCAAUUGUCCGUCUCCUUGUGGGCUAUCUGUCAUCACUGACCAUCAAUAGGAGAACCUCCGGGUCUUUUUUCUCUCGUGUGUGAUUCACUCGUCAAUUCAAGUCCGAUGGAAUUCAGGAAGGACUUCAGUAACGACGUAGACUUGUCGUAAGUUUCAGUGACUUCAUGAAAGCUGCAAUUUGCGUUUUGUCGAUGCCCAGUCAGUGAAUCGUAGAAGACUUUGAAGUUUUCCAGGCCAUGAGCCUCCAUACACUUAGCAAGAUUUCAUUAAAGAGCGGGAUCCAGUUCCCCCCAACUCACUUCAAUCGCGUCCAUUCGGAUACCGCAGAAUACCGGAAAUGAAAAAAAUAAAAAAAAUAUAUAUUUAAUUCUAAUGGAAGCAUGCAUGUACAUGUUCAGUAGGGAGAGUAGCUGAAGGGAAUCGCGAUACAACAUGUUUUUAAAAUUCCAAAAUGAUCUUUCAUCAAAGGACCGUCAUAGUACAGUAAUGUCACAACCUAAAUCAGAAUCUAUAUAAGACAAAAUAUACUGACGCAAUCCACGCUAAUUCAAACACUAGUCAAAUCUAUGUCAAGAUAUCUGCCCUACAUUGAUUAAUGGUUUUCUCUGAAGAAAAAUAAUUAAAUAAGGCAUAUCGGUUUACACACCUGACAACAGUUUAAGGAGAGGCCAGUUUAUGUGGCGGGAAUUCUAAUAAAUCACAAGCGCUUCUCAAAAACUCAUUUUUCUCAUUUAUUCAUUUUUUAUUUGUAGGUUGGAGGGGGUGUUGGGGAUCGGAAAAUUCCGUCAUGUAAACAAAAAUUCCUGUCAUCAUUUCCCUUUUGCGGCAUUGCUCUAUAUCUAACUUAUAGAGUACAACUGAUCUUUAUGAAUGAAUCGCUGCUGUUUGACGAGUGUCGAUUACUAUUUAUUGUUUCUCGGUAUAAAAAGUAGCUCCCUUAGCAUCUUUUGAUAAGAGGGAUCGGAGCAUUGAGCGUGUUUUCUGGGCGGAGUUUGUUAAUGUUUAUGAGAUGUGGGAGUAUUAACGCAUCGUAAAAACGACACUUAAGCAUCGUAAAAUUCAUAAAUGAUGAAAUUAUCUCUAUAGUCAUAAAUUAAAAAUGUUUAUUGCUUUUAUUCAGUUAUUUCCCUUUGAACGCAAAAAAAUAGCGGCAUGGUAAAAACCAAGUGUUUUGUUUUGGUUUUUUUUUUUUUUUGUAAAAAUAUUUUUCUCUAUUACUGUUUGUUUUGGGAAAAA